rnacentral:pre_miRNA from 1 species
UCCCUCAGGAUGCUGUUAGAAUGCAGAUGCUGAUUCAGGUGGAGCCUGAGAUUCUGCAUUUCUAACAAGCGCCCAGGCGAUGUGGA